rnacentral:lncRNA from 1 species
UGGUUCCUUCUCACCCCUAACUCGAUCGCGCCCAUGCUUCCAAUUGGCUUUUAUUCGUACCCUUUUUUUUAAUCGCCACUCCAUGGAUUUGCAGUACUAAAAUAGUACCAUGAGGAUGACCAACAUGCAUGCCUCCUGAAUCCUGAUGAUGAUCCAGUCCCCGAACAAUGAAUCCAGCUGCAACUUGUCCAAAGAAAAAACAUAGAACUUGCUCAGAAAGGCCGGCGGCUCCAUCAUCUUCUACCGGCGCCGUGCCGGCCUGUAAUUCCCCCCCUGCUGCUGCUACCAUGCCGGCUUGUUUGCACUCUCAAAUUCUCGAGCCCUUGCCCAAUUCUCUGGGUGGACUCCGAACCCAAUG